GCGUCCGGAGGCGUGAUGCGUUGCGGCCACGCCCACCGCAGCGCGUGUGCGCGUGAUCGAGAGCUGCGACUUUGCAAAGGCCCGAGAGGCAGCAACGGAGGUGGCGGCACACUAUGCAAGUGAUCCGUUGUGACGUCGUUGCUGUUGGUGUGAAACACCUCCCCCGAUGCUGCUGGCAGGCGAGCCUGAGCGGUUUUGCACGUGCUCGGCCCAAAAGGAUCGCUUCAGUUUCACUGCGGAACGGCGCAGAAGCGCGUCUCCGUGUUUGACCGUCUCCAAGGAAGCAGUUCGCCGGGCAAUAUCUACAUCCGACAUCCAUGGCCAAACUCGCACUCACUAGGCGAGCGUUGCGAGUCACGUGGCCAGGUGGCGACCCGGCCUGCGGAGAGCGCAUGCGCCAAGCCGGCGGCGGCGCCGGCGGAGAUAGGCGCGGCGGGUCACGUGAUGCGCUGCCAAGGCUACGGCGCAGGCGCGGUCAAAUGAAGCGCCUUCUUGGAAGUCUCCGCAAACACCCGCAGUAAGUGCAAAGUCGCCAUGAUCGGAGUAACGAUCUGCCGCCUGCGCGUGCCUCCGCAGCCUUUAAUGGAGCUAUGAGAUGCCUAUACAAGAAACAAAGCAACAAGCAAGCGAGCAACCGAGCAAGCAAGCAAGCAACCAAGCAAGCAAGCAAGCAAGCAAGCAAGCAAGCAAGCAAGCAAGCAAGCAAGCAAGCAAGCAAGCAAGCAAGCGAGCGAGCAAACGAACCAACAAACAAGCAACGAAAGGACUCUCGCCAUUUUUUUUACACCAUCUGGUUGAUGGUGAGGCUUGGGGAGGAGGAAGCUGCAAACUUGAAGAUAUGUUGCUACUUCGGGAGUAUGGUAAUUGUAGUCCGAGUUUGUGAGCAAACAGCUCUGAAUACUUCAACGUGUAACACAUUAUGGUACCAACGUGCAUGUGGGUCGCAGAAGUCUAGAGUGAUUGUGCCUCUACAGACAGCCUAUCGAGGCGCUAGCGCGCUUUCUGUCGAACCUUCUCGACGUUAUUGUUACGGAAGCCAUUUUGUAACGGUAGCAAAAAAGUGAUUCUUACAGCACCCACUACUAGCGUAUCUCACCAAAUCUGCGCCUUCUUUAUCAGGUUAAAUCAAUCAAUCAAUCAAUCAAUCAAUCAAUCAAUCAAUCAAUCAAUCAAUCAAUCAAUCAAUCAAUCAAUCAAUUUAUACAUUUGGAUAUGGUAUGGAAUUAUUCUUGUAUAAGAUACAUAUUGGAGAAGAGCGCUUCCAGGACACAGCUUAGAACAGCUCAUUCUGUCUAGAGCCCGUAAUUGUAUCGUGAUGCGAAGAAAUCCGCGCAGCUCUCAUAAGCGGGUGGAGACUGUGCUUAUACAAUAUCGCACCUCAUAAAUCUAGUUUGAAAAAUCACGGCACGGUCCGCAUGAACGUUCAAAGGGAGAUAAUACUGCUUCGCCGCACAAAGUGCUUCACAAAAGCCAACGUAAUGCAGUCAGGUCCGCUGAAAGCGGCUAUGCCAGGGGAAUGAAACUUUUGAUGGCGCUACCACCCGUGUGUGCAGAAUAUUGAUCAUAUAAACAGAAAGGACAAUGAGUCGCUGUCUGUAUGCUUGCAGUGUGGACUUAACAAUGCAACGAGCAGUGCCAACAUCAACGCUCCUAGCUAAUCACAAUAUAUAUUGAUCUUUCUCCCUCCUUCUCUCACAGACACAAUCUCUCAUUGACGAUAAGACGUAUACGGGCAUACAUACCUCAUCACUCUAAAUGUAAGACGUACCUCAGAGAGAGUGCAAGAAAGUUCUCAUCUGGCAGUUUAAUAAGCAGUGACGAAAAUACGUGCAGAGGCAUAUCACUCCUACAAUAACUUAGGGAAAUAUCGGAAUCGAAAGUAAUGCUAUACAAAAGUUAACACACAAUCCUACAUUCCGUUUAGUUCUGAUAAUUGGAAGUCCAUCAGGCCAGGUUGAACUAUCGAAGCACAACGUCGCAAUAAAACAGUGAGAACACAUGAAGUAUGAUUUUAUGUGCUAGAAUAUAACAAGCAGUAUCCGCAAAGAAGUCACGGAGCCCGUGGAAGGGGCACUUUCGAGGAGCGCCGCAGUCCGUCAUGGGCCUAGCACUUCCGUUAAUGCGAAACGCCUGUUGUCCAGCGAUGUAAGCCUUUCUUUGCUCUCCGCGCGCAGCGGUGGAAAAGGAACAGAGCGAAGUCGGUGCACGCCGGACGGUUGGCCUCAUUUUAGACUCUGGGAGCAGCGCGCACGAAAAAAUAAAUAACGGGGCCGCCCUCGCGGCAGUGGCAAGAAAAAGAAUAUGGCGACCACCGCAUUGGUCUUGUGUCAGCUCUUAAGAGGAAACAUAGAUCGUUCCGCGAGUGUUGGGACCACAUGCAUCACGGGCAAUGAAACUUGGGGAAGCGCGAGAGGGCGGCGAUAGGAGGAGCAGCUAAAAGGGGAGACGGGGAGGAACGGGCGUCGUCGCGAGCGGAAGUGGCUUUCGGGAUGAGUUAUAGGGACGAUCACGCCGCAAGCUCGCGCCCGAAAUUGGCUCCACUUUUUUUGCGUUCCGAAACGCCGUCGAGUCAAUAUUGCGGCCAUACGUCUCGCGCUAUCGUUUCGUCACUUUCUGGCCCAUUCCUAAAUACCAAACACACGAAUGACAGAAUCACGAAUGUUCUUCUCCUUCCAUAUCAAGGGGUGGGUUUAUUAUAUUUCUCUUCUCAGUGCGUUAUUGUACUCCUCUGUGGCAGUAUGUGUAUGACAGAGGCAACGAAUGGAUGGUUCUUGUCAAGUCCGGGCACGCUGUAAAAUGCAGCAGGGGAAGCGGGGCUCAACAGUUGAAAGGUUAAUUCGAACUGUCUCAUCGCCACUUUACUGAAACUUGAAUUUAUUAUUAUUAUUAUUAUUAUUAUUAUUAUUAUUAUUAUUAUUAUUAUUAUUAUUAUUAUUAUUUGGUUUUAACCACAUGCAUACUUCGCAGGAAAUGGCAAGCUAGGAGCAGGCUAGCCACUGCAACAGGAAGGGGCCCCACUCUUUGCUACUCAUAAAAAAGGAAUAGACAGAAAUAUACAUAUUGAAGAUAGCAAGAACGGGAGGAAGGAGGCAGGAAAGAGCAAGAUGAAAAAUCUCAAAUAAUAAAGCGCAACACACACAGUACAGGCCACGCACAAUGCGGCCGGUCACUGCAGGUCACGCUACUAAGGAAUGUUAAAAUAUAUGAAAUAGCGUCUCAGGUCUUGUCAUUUGAACACGGAAAUAAGUUACAACCAUGAACCUAUGUUAGUUAUUUUAGAAAAGUAAGAAGAGCGCGAUGAGCCUGAUGGCGUCGAGAUGCACAACCUCUGGCGCACAAACAUUCGUCGAAUGUCGUGCACCACAGGCCGAGGACGUGAUAGGCCCUCACUAGCGAAGUGCGUUGUGCAAUGAAAGCGGGACACUCCAGUAGCAGGUGCUGAAGUGUCUCGCAGCAACCAUAAGACGUACACGAUGGACUGACCACGCGUCCUUGUCGGCAUAAACGUUCGCACACGUUCACACAGCCCAUUUCUAGCUUGUGUAGUUGUGCUCUAGUGCGAUGAGGCAAGCCUCGACCGUGGAUAGGAACGGGAACGUUCAAAUUGCGACGCGCUGGUCACGCUGCUGCUUCAGUAGGUGGCGACAAAUCAGCAGACGAGCGUCAUCAAGCUUCCACAAAAUUUCUGGGCAGACACAGUCGCUAUGAGGCACAACGUCAGGCACAACGAUAGCCGUACAAAAUCGUUAUCACCGACAGAAGGAAAGAAACAAGCGGAAGCGUUUAACACAUUCUUCCAUUCCGUAUUUGCCCUCGGCAAUGGCAUUACGCAUGCAUACAAGCCAGAAAAUGUGAAGCACAAGGAGACACUGAGCGCUCCAGUCGUAACUGAAGCAGGCGUGUUCGCACUAUUAUAAAAUUUAGACGAUAAAAAGUGCAACGGCCCUGACGGAACCCUGAACUGUUUCCUGAAACGUUAUGCCGAGCCUGUAAGCAAAUACUUAUGCCUUAUUUACAAUAAAUCAAUCUCCGAACAAUGUAUCCCAGCAGGAUGGAAAAUUGCUAAAAUAGUGCCCAUCUAGAAAUCGGGCAAUAUUUCUUGUCAGUCAAAUUAUAGACCUAUUUCUCUCACAUGUACAUGCUGUAAAAUCUUGGAACAUAUUAUCUUAAAAUCUGUUACAGAGUUCAUUGAGGCAAACAAUGUCCUCCAUCCAUGCCAACAUGGCUUCAGGACUAGUCUGUCUACCGUUACUCAAAUCGUUGAGAAAUUACAAGAUUUCGCCAAAGCAAUUAACGACCAGAAACAAAUAGAUGUAAUUUACCUAGACUUCUAAAAGGUCAUUGAUCAUGUCUGCCAUGCUAAACUACUUCUAAAGCUUAACCAUAUACUAGGAGAUGGUCCAAUUUUUUGUUCGAUUAGCAAUUACUUAUCUGACAGCCGCCAGUUUGUUCAGUUAAGCUCCAACGCUUCUGAAACUGUGCAAGUACUUUCUGGUGUACCCCAGGGUUCCGUUUUUGCCCCUAUCCUGUUUCUCUUGUUUAUAAAUGACAUAACUAAUCAGAUUGAAUCCAAGAUUAAAUUAUUUGCAGACGACUGCGUCCUGUAUAGAGAAGUACUAAACCGGCAAGACCAAAUUAGUCUUAACAAGCAUUUUUCUUUGAUGGUACAAUGGUGUGAAAACUGGCAAAUGGCCAUUAGCUUCGAUAAAACAGUUUCAAUGUUAGUAACAAAAAAGAAAUCCAAGCUUACUUUUACAUACGGCUGUGAUAAUACUAUACUUAACACUGUCACUCAGUACAAGUACUUGGGCGUAAUCAAUCAUCAGACUUAGGAUGGUCGGCUCAUGUAGAGCACGUAGCAAGCAAAGCGAUGCGAAAGCUUAUGUUCUUAAAACGGGCCCUGCGGUACUCUACGAAGGAAGCCAAGCUCUUGGCCUAUGUCACAAUCAUACGUCCUGUCUUAGAAUAUGCGAACGUGGCGUGGUUUCCCUUUGCUCGAAAUUAAAUCUACUCUUGAGGCUGUCCAGCGAAAAGCCGCGCUGUUUAUCUGUAACCGAUUUCGGCACACGGACUCGCCUACUCCUAUGCUAUCCGAGAUCGGCCUUCACACACUAAGUAGUCGUGCGAUGCUGUACCGACUCAAAUACUUGUAUCUCAUCCUGAAUAAUAAGGUUCAUGUGGAUUUUAACACCUAUAUUUCCUAUAACACAUUCAGAGAAACACGUCACAAGCAUCACCUUACACUCCAAGAAUAUUCUUGCACUAACAACAUAUUUAAUCUUUCGUUCUUCCCGCGAGCUGUUCGCAAUUAGAAUGCUUUAGCCCAGACGGUAGUCGCACAGCCGAAUGUUGACAAAUUUGUUGAAUUUGUUGGUCCAACAGUACUGUCAUCCACGACUAAGUGAUGUUAUCAACAUUGUCUUUAUCAUUGUAUUAGUUACCAAAUAUUUUUGGAAAUCUGUGAUGUGAAAUGAUGAAUGAUGCUAUCAAGUGUAUAUCCCAUAUGCUUAUCCUUCUUUUCUUCCUUUUUGUCUCUUUGCAAAACAUCACAUGUAAUUGAAACAAGCUCUUUGUGCGUUAUGUUUUUGCCGUACUUAUUGCUGUUAACACAGGUUCAUGAACCUCUACACUUACUUAGUACCCUUUUGUGUUCUUAUGUAAAUGCCUGUAUAACAAUGUCUACAGACCUUUCUAACCCACUCUUGUAAGAAUCCCUGAUGGAAUUGACAGUAUCACAAAAUAUAAAAUAAAAAAAUGAG